rnacentral:rRNA from 1 species
CUGGGAGGACCAUCUCCUAAGGCUAAAUACUCUCUAGUGACCGAUAGUGAACCAGUACCGUGAGGGAAAGGUGAAAAGCACCCCGGAAGGGGAGUGAAAUAGAACCUGAAACCGUGUGCUUACAAGUAGUCAGAGCCCGUUAAUGGGUGAUGGCGUGCCUUUUGUAGAAUGAACCGGCGAGUUACGAUUUGAUGCAAGGUUAAGCAGUAAAUGUGGAGCCGUAGCGAAAGCGAGUCUGAAUAGGGCGUUUAGUAUUUGGUCGUAGACCCGAAACCAGGUGAUCUACCCUUGGUCAGGUUGAAGUUCAGGUAACACUGAAUGGAGGACCGAACCGACUUACGUUGAAAAGUGAGCGGAUGAACUGAGGGUAGCGGAGAAAUUCCAAUCGAACCUGGAGAUAGCUGGUUCUCUCCGAAAUAGCUUUAGGGCUAGCCUCAAGUGAUGAUUAUUGGAGGUAGAGCACUGUUUGGACGAGGGGCCCCUCUCGGGUUACCGAAUUCAGACAAACUCCGAAUGCCAAUUAAUUUAACUUGGGAGUCAGAACAUGGGUGAUAAGGUCCGUGUUCGAAAGGGAAACAGCCCAGACCACCAGCUAAGGUCCCAAAAUAUAUGUUAAGUGGAAAAGGAUGUGGCGUUGCCCAGACAACUAGGAUGUUGGCUUAGAAGCAGCCAUCAUUUAAAGAGUGCGUAAUAGCUCACUAGUCGAGUGACACUGCGCCGAAAAUGUACCGGGGCUAAACAUAUUACCGAAGCUGUGGAUUGUCCUUUGGACAAUGGUAGGAGAGCGUUCUAAGGGCGUUGAAGCAUGAUCGUAAGGACAUGUGGAGCGCUUAGAAGUGAGAAUGCCGGUGUGAGUAGCGAAAGACGGGUGAGAAUCCCGUCCACCGAUUGACUAAGGUUUCCAGAGGAAGGCUCGUCCGCUCUGGGUUAGUCGGGUCCUAAGCUGAGGCCGACAGGCGUAGGCGAUGGAUAACAGGUUGAUAUUCCUGUACCACCUAUAAUCGUUUUAAUCGAUGGGGGGGACGCAGUAGGAUAGGCGAAGCGUGCGAUUGGAUUGCACGUCUAAGCAGUAAGGCUGAGUAUUAGGCAAAUCCGGUACUCGUUAAGGCUGAGCUGUGAUGGGGAGAAGACAUUGUGUCUUCGAGUCGUUGAUUUCACACUGCCGAGAAAAGCCUCUAGAUAGAAAAUAGGUGCCCGUACCGCAAACCGACACAGGUAGUCAAGAUGAGAAUUCUAAGGUGAGCGAGCGAACUCUCGUUAAGGAACUCGGCAAAAUGACCCCGUAACUUCGGGAGAAGGGGUGCUCUUUAGGGUUAACGCCCAGAAGAGCCGCAGUGAAUAGGCCCAAGCGACUGUUUAUCAAAAACACAGGUCUCUGCUAAACCGUAAGGUGAUGUAUAGGGGCUGACGCCUGCCCGGUGCUGGAAGGUUAAGAGGAGUGGUUAGCUUCUGCGAAGCUACGAAUCGAAGCCCCAGUAAACGGCGGCCGUAACUAUAACGGUCCUAAGGUAGCGAAAUUCCUUGUCGGGUAAGUUCCGACCCGCACGAAAGGCGUAACGAUUUGGGCACUGUCUCAACGAGAGACUCGGUGAAAUCAUAGUACCUGUGAAGAUGCAGGUUACCCGCGACAGGACGGAAAGACCCCGUGGAGCUUUACUGUAGCCUGAUAUUGAAAUUCGGCACAGCUUGUACAGGAUAGGUAGGAGCCUUUGAAACGUGAGCGCUAGCUUACGUGGAGGCGCUGGUGGGAUACUACCCUAGCUGUGUUGGCUUUCUAACCCGCACCACUUAUCGUGGUGGGAGACAGUGUCAGGCGGGCAGUUUGACUGGGGCGGUCGCCUCCUAAAAGGUAACGGAGGCGCUCAAAGGUUCCCUCAGAAUGGUUGGAAAUCAUUCAUAGAGUGUAAAGGCAUAAGGGAGCUUGACUGCGAGACCUACAAGUCGAGCAGGGUCGAAAGACGGACUUAGUGAUCCGGUGGUUCCGCAUGGAAGGGCCAUCGCUCAACGGAUAAAAGCUACCCCGGGGAUAACAGGCUUAUCUCCCCCAAGAGUUCACAUCGACGGGGAGGUUUGGCACCUCGAUGUCGGCUCAUCGCAUCCUGGGGCUGUAGUCGGUCCCAAGGGUUGGGCUGUUCGCCCAUUAAAGCGGUACGCGAGCUGGGUUCAGAACGUCGUGAGACAGUUCGGUCCCUAUCCGUCGUGGGCGUAGGAAAUUUGAGAGGAGCUGUCCUUAGUACGAGAGGACCGGGAUGGACAUACCUCUGGUGUACCAGUUGUCGUGCCAACGGCAUAGCUGGGUAGCUAUGUGUGGACGGGAUAAGUGCUGAAAGCAUCUAAGCAUGAAGCCCCCCUCAAGAUGAGAUUUCCCAACUUCGGUUAUAAGAUCCCUCAAAGAUGAUGAGGUUAAUAGGUUCGAGGUGGAAGCAUGGUGACAUGUGGAGCUGACGAAUACUAAUCGAUCGAAGACUUAAUCAA